GCCGCCUGCACCUGGCAGGGCGCACCUCGCGGGCGUGCGGCCACACGGCGCGAACGGGAUCCGCGGGGCUCUGCCUCCUUAGGGUGGAGGGAGCUGCCGUGUGAUUGGGGAUGGCACAGCCCUUGCUGUAUCUUGUCCAGCUGAGUGCUGGAUCUUUUGUGAACAAAAACAGAGAAGAAAAACAUUACAACUCUACCGAAAUACUCAAGCUAAAUGGACCGUAACCCUCAGUUUUGGCAUCAAAAUCUCUGAGAGGAGGGGGAAAAAAAAGGCAUCUGGAAACUUCAUUCUGUUACAAUUCAAACACCAUCAGAGUAAAUGGUUAACUAAAACAACAAAAUCAAAGAUUCUAAUGUUGCCUUUUGCUUUGUCCCUCUGCUUUGUUUUGUUUUGGGGUGUUUUUUUUUUCCCCCUGACUGAAAAUCUGUAGGCCAGAAUCUGCUUUUUUUUUUUUUUUUUUUUUUUUUUUUUUUUUUAAUCUUGUGUGUAGUUAGAAUGCUUUUCUUGACACUGACUUCAUACUGAUGCUGCACUACUAGCUUGAUACUCACCGAGAUUCCUUCCACUAAUAGCUAACUGUCUCCAACACAUAACUCAAUUAAAAAUUGUGAUGUAAGAAAUAUGGGCUGAAUUCUAAGACUUCACAAGCAUACACUAUAUAUGAUCACAAUUUAUAUUAAGUUUUAAAUUCACAAAUUCCCUUUUUUCAUUAUUCAAACUUCCUUUCUUGGCCACCAUGUACAAGACUGAAGUGAAUUCUGAAUAGCGUCACAAAGGUGUUGAAAGUUUUCCUCAGGCGCAGUCUGUGAAAAUGAUAUUGAAUCCUGGGUCUGUUCAUACAAGAAUGGCUUAAAACCAAUUUUGGUAAAAAAAAUAUUUGAACUUCAUUUCACAGUGGUGAGAGUGGAAAUUAGGCUUAAGUAAUAGAAAAAUAUUUUUAAACCCCCAAUUUUGUUAUUUGUAGUUAUAAUCUAAGAAAUCCUUUAUCUGUGCACAAGAUUUUCUAUGAACUAUGCAGCACACGUUUUUGUAUAGUUUUUUUGUGGAAUUUUUAAUACAAAACUACAAUGGGAUCAUGACAUUUGACUUUCAAGUAAUACGUACGUAAAAGUAAUUCUGUGAAACUUUGGACUUAGUGUUCCAUGUGUAAUGAAACUUACAUUCCAAAUCUUGUCUAGAGGUAGAUUUCCCUUAUGUUGUCAACUUCAGAACUUCUCCUGGGUUUAUGAGUCAGAUCAGUCUAUUAUAGCGGUGAAAUUGAUGUAUUAAAUACAUGCUACGAGUUCACAGAGAAAUUGUAGUGAAUUAGGAUCAUCUGGUUGAAAAGGCAUGCUCAUAUAAAAAGUCCUUUCUUUAGCUGAAAUUUCAGUGAUUCUAUUAUUUUAAUUAUUUCAUUUAGAACAAAUCAAAAAUAGUGCUAUAAAACUUCAUACUUCAGGGUCUUCAGAUACACCAGAAUGGUAAUAACAAUUCACUGACAAAAUUCUAUCUUGAGAGACAUAAAAUUAUACAAAGUGCUAAAUAGAUGUUUAGAUUCUGUUUUUUAAAUCUGUGAAUGUUCAGUACACUUGAAAAACAUUGUUCAGAAAUAG
ensembl:lncRNA